GACCUGGAUGGGCAGGUGCUGGAUGUCACACCCAUCGUUACCUGACAGUCAGUAUACCGGGCAGUGGCAGUCUGGGGCUACCACAAACCUGAACCAGGUGAAGAGGCAGGGGAUGGCAAAAGCCAAAAUGGCUUUGUGGGGGAGCGCUGUAAAAAGGGGAGCGCUGUAAAAAGAUACAACAUUAUCGUCUUUGACGGUAUAGAUGGAUUUUCAUGGAAGAGUGCGAGCUGAUCAAGCGGUCAACAAUGUAGAUAUUGCCAGAUAUUCACUGUCCGAGGAACAGGCCAUGGAAGCUUUAUUGCUGACUAAAGUGUCCAUAACCAGAGCACAAAGUACUCUGCCGUCACUUAGUGUGGACACCAGUGAUUUGUAAAGCCCAGCAUAUCCAGUGACCUCAGGAGCGAACGGUAACCCAGGAGUCAUCCCAAAAACUAUG
ensembl:lncRNA